rnacentral:rRNA from 1 species
AUUGAACGCUGGCGGCAUGCCUUACACAUGCAAGUCGAACGGCAGCACGGGAGCAAUCCUGGUGGCGAGUGGCGAACGGGUGAGUAAAGUAUCGGAACGUGCCCAGUCGUGGGGGAUAACGUAGCGAAAGUUACGCUAAUACCGCAUACGAUCUAUGGAUGAAAGCGGGGGAUCGCAAGAACUCGCGCGAUUGGAGCGGCCGAUAUCAGAUUAGGUAGUUGGUGGGGUAAAGGCUCACCAAGCCGACGAUCUGUAGCUGGUCUGAGAGGACGACCAGCCACACUGUGACUGAGACACGGCACAGACUCCUACGGGAGGCAGCAGUGGGGAAUUUUGGACAAUGGGCGAAAGCCUAAUCCAGCCAUGACGCGUGCAGGAUGAAGGCCUUCGGGUUGUAAACUGCUUUUGUACGGAACGAAAAGGUUUGGCCUAAUAAGCUGAGCUCAUGACGGUACCGUAAGAAUAAGCACCGGCUAACUACGUGCCAGCCGCCGCUGUAA